GACGAACGCUGGCGGCGUGCCUAAUACAUGCAAGUCGAACGAACUCUGGUAUUGAUUGGUGCUUGCAUCAUGAUUUACAUUUGAGUGAGUGGCGAACUGGUGAGUAACACGUGGGAAACCUGCCCAGAAGCGGGGGAUAACACCUGGAAACAGAUGCUAAUACCGCAUAACAACUUGGACCGCAUGGUCCGAGCUUGAAAGAUGGCUUCGGCUAUCACUUUUGGAUGGUCCCGCGGCGUAUUAGCUAGAUGGUGGGGUAACGGCUCACCAUGGCAAUGAUACGUAGCCGACCUGAGAGGGUAAUCGGCCACAUUGGGACUGAGACACGGCCCAAACUCCUACGGGAGGCAGCAGUAGGGAAUCUUCCACAAUGGACGAAAGUCUGAUGGAGCAACGCCGCGUGAGUGAAGAAGGGUUUCGGCUCGUAAAACUCUGUUGUUAAAGAAGAACAUAUCUGAGAGUAACUGUUCAGGUAUUGACGGUAUUUAACCAGAAAGCCACGGCUAACUACGUGCCAGCAGCCGCGGUAAUACGUAGGUGGCAAGCGUUGUCCGGAUUUAUUGGGCGUAAAGCGAGCGCAGGCGGUUUUUUAAGUCUGAUGUGAAAGCCUUCGGCUCAACCGAAGAAGUGCAUCGGAAACUGGGAAACUUGAGUGCAGAAGAGGACAGUGGAACUCCAUGUGUAGCGGUGAAAUGCGUAGAUAUAUGGAAGAACACCAGUGGCGAAGGCGGCUGUCUGGUCUGUAACUGACGCUGAGGCUCGAAAGUAUGGGUAGCAAACAGGAUUAGAUACCCUGGUAGUCCAUACCGUAAACGACGAAUGCUAAGUGUUGGAGGGUUUCCGCCCUUCAGUGCUGCAGCUAACGCAUUAAGCAUUCCGCCUGGGGAGUACGGCCGCAAGGCUGAAACUCAAAGGAAUUGACGGGGGCCCGCACAAGCGGUGGAGCAUGUGGUUUAAUUCGAAGCUACGCGAAGAACCUUACCAGGUCUUGACAUACUAUGCAAAUCUAAGAGAUUAGACGUUCCCUUCGGGGACAUGGAUACAGGUGGUGCAUGGUUGUCGUCAGCUCGUGUCGUGAGAUGUUGGGUUAAGUCCCGCAACGAGCGCAACCCUUAUUAUCAGUUGCCAGCAUUAAGUUGGGCACUCUGGUGAGACUGCCGGUGACAAACCGGAGGAAGGUGGGGAUGACGUCAAAUCAUCAUGCCCCUUAUGACCUGGGCUACACACGUGCUACAAUGGAUGGUACAACGAGUUGCGAACUCGCGAGAGUAAGCUAAUCUCUUAAAGCCAUUCUCAGUUCGGAUUGUAGGCUGCAACUCGCCUACAUGAAGUCGGAAUCGCUAGUAAUCGCGGAUCAGCAUGCCGCGGUGAAUACGUUCCCGGGCCUUGUACACACCGCCCGUCACACCAUGAGAGUUUGUAACACCCAAAGUCGGUGGGGUAACCUUUUAGGAACCAGCCGCCUAAGGUGGGACAGAUGAUUAGGGUG
rnacentral:rRNA from 2 species